GUUAUUCGACUUGUUUUGAUUAUUAAGGGAACUUGCUUUAAGAUUUGUAAUAAGAAAAUUAUUUUAUAGUUUUAAGUAUAGUAAAGAAAUUAAUUUAGGGCGAUAGGGAAUAGUACUGUGAAGGAAAGUUGAAAUAAUUGAGAAAAUUAAGUUGAAAGUAUAAGUAAAAUUUAGCACCUUGUGUAUUAGGGGUAUUUUAUAUUAGUUAAUUAUGGUUAUAUUCCCGAUAUAAGGAUAGUUAAAUUGAAAGUUGAGUUUUUGUUGUAUAAAAAUUUAUAAUUUUAUUUUAGUAGUGAAAUGUUAGUCGAGCCUUAAGAUAUCUGGUUUUCUUUGAAAAAAAUUUAAUUUUUUCUUUAGGUUUAUAGAUAGGUAAGAGAAAGGGGUAAAGGGGACAAGCUCUUUAUUCGAAGGUUUUGAAUUAUAAGGACAGUUGUAAAGGGUAUUAGGUUAGGCUUAGAAAUAGCCAUACUUUUAAAAGGUUAUACUUAAGAUAGAGCAGUUAAAAAUAUUUAUUUGUUUUUUAGAUAAGUAGGAGAGAAUAGGAUAGGAAAUGGAAUUUAAUAAGUUAAAAUGAAUAUAUUAGUAUAUAAUGGUUUUGUUUGUUUUUUAUUGUAAAAUAUUAAUAAAUUUUAUUAGGAUAAUUGACUAUACGAAGGAAUUCGGCAAAGGGGAAUUUCCGCCUGUUUAUCAAAAACAUGUCUAUAUGAGAGGUAUAUGAAGUCUGGCCUGCCCACUGGGUUAUUUAAGGGCCGCGGUAUCAUGACCGUGCGAAGGUAGCAUAAUCAUUAGUCUUUUAAUUGAGGGCUGGUAUGAAUGGUUGGACGAGAAAUUAACUGUCUUUGUUUUGAAGAUUGAAUUUAACUUUUAAGUGAAAGGGCUUAAAUGAACUAGAGGGACGAUAAGACCCUAUGAAGUUUGUACAUUGGAUUAAUUGGGAAUGAUUUAUGUUUAGUAAGGUUUGCUAUUGAGAAGAUGUUUAGUUGGGGCGACUAGGAUAUAAUAUAUAACUGUUUCUUGGUAGGAGUCAAAAAUAUUUGAGUUAAUGAUCCUUUUUUAGGAUUUUAGAGUAAAUUACUCUAGGGAUAACAGCGUAAUUUUUUUUGAGAGUUCUUAUCGACAAAAGAGUUUGCGACCUCGAUGUUGAAUUAAAAUUUCUUUGUAAUGUAGCAGUUACAAUAGAAGGUCUGUUCGACCUUUAAAUUUUUACAUGAUUUGAGUUCAGACCGGCGUGAGCCAGGUUGGUUUCUAUCUUCUAGGGAGAAAGAAAUUAUUUUAGUACGAAAGGAUUAAAUAAUUGAAAUAGUUUUAGAAAAAAAAUAAAAGAAAACCUCUUGGGUUUUUGGGGUGUAGAAGAAAUUGU
rnacentral:rRNA from 1 species